rnacentral:lncRNA from 10 species
UUUCAGAGAAUUAAGAGAAACCCCCAAAAGAUAGAAAUGAGUCAUUGAUUAUGGCCAAAAAGAAAUCAGAUGACUGUAUUUGUUUCCUGUGGCUGAUGUAAGAUGUGUCUAACUAGGUGAUAUGCCUGGCUCAGUAGGUGUUCACUUUGAUUUAGUAGAUUACGUGUCUGUUUCAGCAGAAAAUUCAUGUUGUGUCAACAGGUAACGAGCACAUCUGAUUUCAUUCUUGAUAUAUAUGGCUCAAUUGGUGAUCUAUUUCUUUUUAGUUGGUGUUUAUUUUUCCUAUGAAUGAUUUAUCUGUUUUAGAAUGAACUGUGUCAACUACUGCACAUGGUAUAUUAAUUUCAGUGUGUUAUGCAAACAUUUCCUGGGUAAUACACCUUAUUCCAUCUUUAUUUGCUCUCACUAGCAACAUCAUAUCUUUUCUUUAUUUGAAUUAAAUCCACGGCCCGAGGGCUGCAUGCCGCCCAGGAUGGCUUUGAAUGUGGCCUAACACAAAUUUGUAAACUUUCUUAAAACAUUAUGAGAUAUUUUGGCAGUUUUUAAAAAACUCAUCAGCUGUUUCUAGCGUUAGUAUAUUUUAUGUGUGGCCCAAAACAAUUGUUCUUCCAAUGUGACCUAGGGAAGCCAAAAGAUUGGAUACUCCUGCAGUACAACUUUCAGGGUUUGAAGUUUUCUUUGUGGUAAGAUUUUUACUUCAUAAUUUAUCAUACUCAAUGGACAUGUGUCUACUUAGAUUUUCAAUUUCUUUUCAGUUUUUUUUAAAUUAUCAAUUUUCUCUAAGGUGCUUUAUUUAUAUUAAUAAGCGACUUAGUUGUUGUUAUAUAUCCACUAAGUUACUGCUAUAUAUCCACUCUUACCAUUUUCAUCUGUGGGAUCUCUAAUGAUGUUUGCUCUUUGUAAUUUGUGCAGAGAGCUUCAUCACAAAUGCUGUGUCCUCUUUUCCCCUUUGUGAAUCUUGCUAGAGGUUUCCCAAUUUGAUUUAUAUUUUUAAAGAAAUAACUUCUGACUUUGUUGAACUUUCUCAUUGUUUUUCUGGUUAUUCUUUACAUUUCACUGACUUCCACUCUUAUUCGUAAUAUUGACUCUUCUUUAUAUUUGGAAUUUAAUUUUUUUCUACCUCUUUAGAUAUAAAUAGAAGAAAUGUAUUU